UGGGGAAUAUUGGACAAUGGGGGCAACCCUGAUCCAGCCAUGCCGCGUGAGUGAUGAAGGCCCUAGGGUUGUAAAGCUCUUUCGCCGGUGAAGAUAAUGACGGUAACCGGUAAAGAAGCCCCGGCUAACUUCGUGCCAGCAGCCGCGGUAAUACGAAGGGGGCUAGCGUUGUUCGGAAUUACUGGGCGUAAAGCGCACGUAGGCGGACCAUUAAGUCAGGGGUGAAAUCCCGGGGCUCAACCCCGGAAUUGCCUCUGAUACUGGUGGUCUUGAGUCCGAGAGAGGUGAGUGGAACUCCGAGUGUAGAGGUGAAAUUCGUAGAUAUUCGGAAGAACACCAGUGGCGAAGGCGGCUCGCUGGACAAGUAUUGACGCUGAGGUGCGAAAGCGUGGGGAGCAAACAGGAUUAGAUACCCCCGUAGUCC
rnacentral:rRNA from 1 species